UGGGGAAUAUUGGGCAAUGGAGGAAACUCUGACCCAGCGACGCCGCGUGCGGGAUGAAGGCCUUCGGGUUGUAAACCGCUUUCAGUAGGGAAGAAGCGAAAGUGACGGUACCUACAAAAGAAGCACCGGCUAACUAUGUGCCAGCAGCCGCGGUAAUACAUAGGGUGCAAGCGUUGUCCGGAAUUAUUGGGCGUAAAGAGCUCGUAGGUCGUUUGUUACGUCGGAUGUGAAAACCUGAGGCUCAACCUCAGGCCUGCAUUCGAUACGGGCAAACUAGAGUUUGGUAGGGGAGACUGGAAUUCCUGGUGUAGCGGUGGAAUGCGCAGAUAUCAGGAGGAACACCAAUGGCGAAGGCAGGUCUCUGGGCCAAUACUGACACUGAGGA
rnacentral:rRNA from 1 species